rnacentral:lncRNA from 1 species
CUGGCAACAAAUCAAUCAUUGGUUGGGCAUUACACGAGCUAUGAACACUUUGAAAGCUGCUGUGCAAUGGACAAUUAAAGAGGCUAGAGGCACUGGGGUUCAGGCUAAAGCUAAGCAGAUUGGCCUUGCAUGCACAGUAUAUUACCUUUGAGAGGCUCAAAAUGAGAGGAUCUUUGAAGGCAAUAUCAAAAAACCGGAAGCCAUUGUUAGGCGCAUUAAAAACCAGGCGUACAGAGUAAUUUACAAUCUUUAUCCAGACUUGAGCGGCCUCUGGUGGACUGAUAGGGGUUGAGAUGGGAUAUUCUUAUGCAGCUUGUCUUAUUGUCUUCCUUUCCUUGUG